AUUGAACGCUGGCGGCAUGCCUUACACAUGCAAGUCGAACGGUAACGGGUCCUUCGGGAUGCCGACGAGUGGCGAACGGGUGAGUAAUAUAUCGGAACGUGCCCAGUAGUGGGGGAUAACUGCUCGAAAGAGCAGCUAAUACCGCAUACGACCUGAGGGUGAAAGGGGGGGAUCGCGAGACCUCUCGCUAUUGGAGCGGCCGAUAUCAGAUUAGCUAGUUGGUGGGGUAAAGGCCUACUAAGGCAACGAUCUGUAGUUGGUCUGAGAGGACGACCAGCCACACUGGGACUGAGAAACGGCCCAGACUCCUACGGGAGGCAGCAGUGGGGAAUUUUGGACAAUGGGCGCAAGCCUGAUCCAGCAAUGCCGCGUGCAGGAAGAAGGCCUUCGGGUUGUAAACUGCUUUUGUCAGGGAAGAAAUCUUCUGGGCUAAUACCCCGGGAGGAUGACGGUACCUGAAGAAUAAGCACCGGCUAACUACGUGCCAGCCGCCGCUGUAACAC
rnacentral:rRNA from 1 species